GGGGGGGUGGAGCAGUCUGGUAGCUCGUCGGGCUCAUAACCCGAAGGUCGCAAGUUCAAAUCUUGCCCCCGCAA
rnacentral:tRNA from 1 species